rnacentral:rRNA from 1 species
AGAGUUUGAUCCUGGCUCAGGAUGAACGCUAGCUACAGGCUUAACACAUGCAAGUCGAGGGGAAACGAUAUUGGAAGCUUGCUUCCGAUAGGCGUCGACCGGCGCACGGGUGAGUAACGCGUAUCCAACCUGCCCACCACUUGGGGAUAACCUUGCGAAAGUAAGACUAAUACCCAAUGAUAUCUCUAGAAGACAUCUGAAAGAGAUUAAAGAUUUAUCGGUGAUGGAUGGGGGAUGCGUCUGAUUAGCUUGUUGGCGGGGUAACGGGCCCACCCAAGGCAACGAUCAGUAGGGGUUCGUGAGAGGAAGGUCCCCCACCAUUGGAACUGAGACACGGUCCAAACUCCUACGGGAGGGCAGCA